rnacentral:lncRNA from 1 species
UCUAGAGAUGAGGGAAUAAUUGCUAGGGAAGAGGACCGAUUGCCUUUAAGCUUCUAUGCGAAUGUAAUGCAUGAAUAAUUGCUAGGGCGACAAGACAUUGUAAACUGGUAAUUAGGAUAGGCUCUUUUCACCAAGACAUUGAAAUUAGGGUAAAUUAGAAAGUGACAUUGACAUUAAUGAAAAAGUAGAAUUCGUAAAUAUAUGAGAGUGGAUUAGGAUAAGUCGGAAACCCCAACAACACCAUUCAUCCAUAUCGUUCAACUGUCAAUUGAUCAAUCAUUGCAUGUGCAUGUUUAAUUUUCGUUUUUUCAUUCUAAACAACAAUUUUCGUUAGUCAAGUCUUA